UAAUACGUAGGGUGCAAGCGUUAAUCGGAAUUACUGGGCGUAAAGCGUGCGCAGGCGGUUAUGCAAGACAGAGGUGAAAUCCCCGGGCUCAACCUGGGAACUGCCUUUGUGACUGCAUGGCUAGAGUACGGUAGAGGGGGAUGGAAUUCCGCGUGUAGCAGUGAAAUGCGUAGAUAUGCGGAGGAACACCGAUGGCGAAGGCAAUCCCCUGGACCUGUACUGACGCUCAUGCACGAAAGCGUGGGGAGCAAACAGGAUUAGAUACCCUGGUAGUCCACGCCCUAAACGAUGUCAACUGGUUGUUGGGAGGGUUUCUUCUCAGUAACGUAGCUAACGCGUGAAGUUGACCGCCUGGGGAGUACGGCCGCAAGGUUGAA
rnacentral:rRNA from 1 species